rnacentral:snRNA from 1 species
GCAGGGGAAUUAUGAUCUGGAAUAUGGUUUUCCUGGGCUGUGGCAUAAUUAUUGCCUUGGGACUAGACUGACUCCUGCAAUUUCCCCAAAUGUGGGAAAUGACUGC